AACUUUCAGCAAUGGAUCUCUUGGCUUUCGCAUCGAUGAAGAACGCAGCGAAAUGCGAUUAGUAAUGUGAAUUGCAGAAUUCAGUGAAUCAUCGAAUCUUUGAACGCAUCUUGCGCUCCUUGGUAUUCCGAGGAGCAUGCCUGUUUUAGUGGCAUUAAAUUUUUUCAAAACAUGCACUUGAGUGUGGUUUGGAUUGUGGGAGUGUCUGCUGGCUUUUUUAUUAUUAUUUAAUACCAGCUCUCCUGAAAGACAUCAGCUUUGGGGGGAUGUGCCAAGUCACUUCUGCCUUUCUAUUGGUGUGAUAGAUGAAUAAACUUAUCUACGCCAGGAAAGCAGGUUGCAGGUGAAAGCACUGUGAUCUCUCUGCUCUCUAAUUGACAUUUGUCUGAUAACUUGACCUCAAAUCAGGUAGGACUACCCGCUGAACUUAAGCAUAUCAAUAAGCGGAGGCU
rnacentral:misc_RNA from 1 species